rnacentral:rRNA from 1 species
CGGCGGACGGGUGAGUAACACGUGGAUAACCUACCUAUAAGACUGGGAUAACUUCGGGAAACCGGAGCUAAUACCGGAUAAUAUAUUGAACCGCAUUGUUCAAUAGUGAAAGACGGUUUUGCUGUCACUUAUAGAUGGAUCCGCGCCGCAUUAGCUAGUUGGUAAGGUAACGGCUUACCAAGGCAACGAUGCGUAGCCGACCUUAGAGGGUGAUCGGCCACACUGGAACUGAGACACGGUCCAG